UGUGGGAAGGACCCUGGGAAUGGGGGAGCCUGGCAUGAGAGAGGCUAGAACUAUAGACAGUUGAAGUCUGUUCUAAUCACUGAAGGGCACCUGUAUUAUGUCCUAUGAUAGGGGGCAGCUGGAGGCACAUCUUUCAAGACCUAUGGGUGUAAUUCCUAUGUAUAAUUUCUUCUUUGUUAUUAGAAAUGCUUCUAAAAUCUGUCUUCCUCUUCUAAGUUCAUGGCUCAUCCAGGUUUCUCAUACCUAUCAUGCCUCCCUGACUUUCACUGGAACUGUAUUCUGUUCUGGGGGGGAGAUUCUCACUCCCUGGCCUAACAGAAGGACUUGACUACAGCCUAUUUUUUGUGUUCUUCUUGCCCACCACGGAAUGAUCAUUGGAUCCAAGCCAGGCCCAAAUAGAUUCUCUAGAGGGUUAAAAUAAGAAUCAAGAAAAUAGAACCCUUUCUUCUGGUAGAAAAAUUAAGGGGGCAUGAGUCCAGGCUCUCCCAAUUCACUAUAAUAUGUGAAAGGUGGCACAUGGGUUAACCUAGACCUCACUGGGAGGUGCAAUAGCAAAGAGAUGAGGAAGGAUGGAGUAGGUGUGGCUAAGGAAGGAUGGGAAGAGUGAAAAAGAAGAAAGGAAGGAGGAAAAAAUACGAGAGACCCAAUUACAUUUCUUUAAUUUAACAUUCUUAAGUAUCUUGGUCAGUGCUCUAUUGCUGUAAAGAAACACCAUGACCACACAAUUCUUAUUAAGGAAGCAUUUAAUUUGGGUUGGCUUACAGUUUCAGAGUCUUAGUCCAUUGUCAUCAUGGCCAUGAAGCAUGGUAGCAUGCACAAAGACAUUGUGGGGCAGGAAAAACUGAGAGUUCUGUAUUCAGAUCCACAAGCAGCAGGGAAAGAGAGAACCACUGGGACUGACUUGGGCUUCUGAAACUCUAAAGCUCGCCCCAGUGACACAUUUCCUCCAGCAAGGCCACACCUCUUAAUCUCUUUAAGUAGUGGCAUUCCCUAAUGACCAAGCAUUCAAAUAUUUGAGCCUAUGGGGGCCAUUUCUAUUCAAACUAUCACACUGUUUUGGUUUUCUCUCUUAAAUUUUAUAAUUCUACAAUAUAGUCUAGAAAUCUCUAUCCAGUGGAUUAAUUCUGAGCUGAGUUUGCUUUUCAAUUACAGCCUAAAGAACCCAGAACAAGAAAACUGAACUCUGCCAACCAUUUCAGUCUUCAGGUUUCCCUGUUUUCAGCUGUCAGACAAGGAGACAGCUGCCUGUCAGCAUCCCAGGAACCUCAAGUUCUUACCCUGCCCAAGACCCAUCUCAGGCUGGUCUCUAAGUCACUAGGGCAAUAUUAGGCUGACUGUGAAUGUCUGGGGCUGUGGUUGGUCUUCAUCAUCCUGCUCUUAGAGCUGGUGCUUUAGCUCUUUACAACUUCUAAUACCUUGUAACAGAGAACUGGCAAGAUAAGUCACGUUCUCUUUUAAAUAGUUUAUUUUAUUUAUUAUAAUUGUUGAUUUUUUUAAAGACAGGGUUUCUCUGUGUAUCCUCGCUGUCCUGAAACUUGCUGAAUAUACCAGGCUGUCCUCAAACUCACAUCUGCUUGCCUCUUCCUCCCGAGAUUUGGGAUUAAAGGUAUGUGGCACCAUUUUCUGGCUACUUAUUUUUAGAAUUAUAUAUAUAAGUGCAUAUUUGAAUGUGGGUUUGUGCACUUAAGUGAACUAUCCAAGAAGGCCAAAGGAGGGCAUUGGAUCUUCUGGAGCUAAAGUUGUGAGCCACACCAUGUGGUUGAUGGGGUUAAAACCCAGGUCUCUUGAAAGAGCAGUGAGAGAUCUUAGCCUGAGUCAUCUCUCUAGUAUAUGUCAUUUUCUUUAAGAAAUGUAAUAGAUUGGGUAGUUCGAAAUAAGAAAAAAUUGAAUUAAAUAUGUGUGUGUGUUUUUUUUUUGUGUGUGUGUGUGUGUGUAUGUAAGAUUAUUUUGGAGUCAGAGAUAAGGGGCAGACGAUGGCACCAGUGGGCUGAGGGGUAGCAAUAAACUAUGAUGGCAAUAGAGAAUCUGAGGUGAUGAGGGCAAGUGUGAGGUCAGACAUUUGAGCUGAGGAAGCAGUGCUGUCCGCUGUGUUCCUCCUCUCAGGAUGAAGAUAAUGUGGGAUGAUGGAGGACUGACAGAUGCUUGUAGAUGAUUCCCAGGGAGGUGUCUCUGAGAAACACUUGCAACCACUUCCCCAAAUUGUUUGCAAGGAUGCUUGACUCAGUUUUGUAGAGAACAGGAUGGACCAAGCUGGGAGAUGACUGAGGCCUGGAUGUCCCUUGUGAUUCUCAGAGAGCAGUGAGGUGAGGCCUCUGUGACCUCACAGGGUAAAGCCCCAUCCUAGUAACAGUAGAGUUUUUAAGCUUGAAAAAAACUCAGAAUCCAGCAAGGAGGGCUGGCAUUCACAGUGAACACAUGUGUCUGCCCAUGUUUGGGCUGUUUUGUGGAAUGGGCGCUACCUGAAAUUCAUCACGAAUAUUGGCCAUAGAUGAUGGCUAACAACAAAGUAGUUUUGGAAAAAUAUGGACUCAAAUGUAUGCUGUACUUUGAUCCCAAAAAGAAUCAGAUACCUUGACCCUGAAAAUUUGUAGAUCGACAUAGGGGGGCCUGAAAAGUAAUAGGCCAAGAAAAAAACCCCAAAAAAGUAUGUGUCCUGGCCAAACCCAGACCUUGAAGGAGUCCAUGUCCAAAACAGAGAUGCAGGUUUGGGCAGGUCCCUGACUAUGAAGAGGCCCAGGCCCAAAGGAAGUAGCGAUGUGGGCCUGGGCCUUUCCCUAACCAUUGAAGAGGCCCAGACCCAGAGAAGAAGCAAUUUGGGCCUGGGCCAAUCCUUGACCUAGAAGAGGCCUGGGCCCAAAAAGAAGAAAUAUGGGUCUGGGCCAAUCCCUGACCCUGAAGAGGCCUGGGUCCAAACCUGGGCCUAUCUGAAGUUGUUGAAGAGGCCUGGCCUAAAGGAAGAAGUGAUGUGAGUCUGGGCCUAUCCCUAACCCCUGAAGAGGCCUAGACCCAAAGAAGAAAUAUGGGCCUGGGCCAAUCCCUGUCUCAGAAGAGGCCUGGGCCCAAAAAACGUGAUGUGGGCCAGGGCCUAUCCUUACUGGUUGAAGAGGCCAGGACUCAAAAAGAAGAAUUAUGGGCCUGGGCCAAUCCCUGACCCAGAAGAGGCCUGGGCCCAAAGGAAGAAGUGAUGUGGGUCUGGGCCUAUCCCUAACCCUUGAAGAGGCCUGGGCCCAAAGAAGAAGAAAUAUGGGCCUGCCAAUCCCUGACCCUCAAGAGGCCUGGGUCCAAAAAAAUGUGUCAUGGACCUGGGCCUAUCCUUACCGGUUGAAGAGGUGUAGGCCCAAAAGAAGAAAUAUGGGCCUGGGCCAAUCCCUGACCCUGUAGAGGCCUAGGCCCAAAGAAAGAAGUGAUUUGGGCCUGGGCCUACCCCUAGUCCUAGAAGAGGCCUGGGCCCAUAGAAAGAAGUGAUGUGGGCCUGGGCCUAUCCCUAACCCUUGAAGAGGCCUGGGCUCAAAGAAGAAGAAAUAUGGGCCUGGGCUAAUCCCUGACCCUGAAGAGGCCUAGGCCCAAAGAAAGAAGUGAUUUGGGCCUGGGCCUACCCCUAGUCCUAGAAGAGGCCUGGGCCCAUAGAAAGAAGUGAUGUGGGCCUGGGCCUACCCCUAGUCCUAGAAGAGGCCUGGGCCCAUAGAAAGAAGUGAUGUGGGCCUGGGCCUAUCCCUAACCCUUGAAGAGGCCUGGGCUCAAAGAAGAAGAAAUAUGGGCCUGGGCUAAUCCCUGACCCUGAAGAGGCCUAGGCCCAAAGAAAGAAGUGAUUUGGGCCUGGGCCUACCCCUAGUCCUAGAAGAGGCCUGGGCCCAUAGAAAGAAGUGAUGUGGGCCUGGGCCUAUCCCUAACCCUUGAAGAGGCCUGGGCUCAAAGAAGAAGAAAUAUGGGCCUGGGCUAAUCCCUGACCCUGAAGAGGCCUAGGCCCAAAGAAAGAAGUGAUUUGGGCCUGGGCCUAUCCCUAGUCCUAGAAGAGGCCUGGGCCCAAAGGAAGAAGUGAUGUGGGCCUGGGCUUAUUCAUAAUCCUUGAAGAGGCCUGGGCCCAAAGAAGAAGAAAUAUGGGCCUGGGCCAAUCCCUGACCCUCAAGAGGCCUGGGUCCAAAAAAAAAGUGUCAUGGGCCUGGGCCUAUCCUUAGCCCUUUAAGAGGCCUGGGCCCAAAAAGAAGAAAUAUGGGCCUGGACCAAUCCCUGACCUAGAAGAGGCCUGGGCCCAAAGGAAUAAGUGAUGUGGGCCAGGGCCUAUCCAUAACCCUUGAAGAGGCCUGGGCCCAAAGAAGAAAUAUGGGUCUGGGCCAAUCCCUGACCCAGAAGAGGCCUAGGCCCAAAGAGAAGUGAUUUGGGCCUGGGCCUAUCCCUGGUCCUAGAAGAGGCCUGGGCCCAAAGGAAGAAGUGAUGUGGGCCUGGGCCUAACCAUAAUCCUUGAAGAGGCCUGGGCUCAAAGAAGAAGAAAUAUGGGCCUGGGCCAAUCCCUGACCCUCAAGAGCCUGCCCCCCCCCACCCCACGCCAAAAAAAAAGUGUCAUGGGCCUGGGCCUAUCCUUAGUCCUUUAAGAGGCCUGGGCCCAAAAAAAGAAAUAAUGGCCUGGGCCUAUCCCUAACCCUUGAAGAGGCCCGGGCCCAAAGAAGAAGAAAUAUGGGCUUGGCCCAAUUCCUGACCUGAAGAGGCCUGGUCCCAAGGGAUAAUUGAUGUGGGCCUGCGCUUAUCCCUAACCCUUGAAGAGGCCUGGGAACAAAUUUGAUCAGGGCCUGGGCCUUUCCCCAACCCUUGAAGAGGCCUUGGUCCAAAGGAAGAUGUCUUGUGGGCGUGGGCCAAUCCAUGACCCUGAACACCCCUGGGCCAAAAUUAAGAGAUGGGGUCUUGGACUAUCCUUAGUCCUUAAGAGACUCAGGCCCAGAGUAUAAGAGAUGUGGACCUAGGCCUAUUUCUGACCUUCAAGAAGCCUGGGUCCUAAUCAAGAAUGAGCUAUCGAUGUAGGCCUGUUCUUCAAAUAACAAGGCAUGGGGCAAAAGAUUAUUAUCAAUCUCUACCAUUUCGAUACAGUUUGAGCCCAAAUGUAAUAUCUGAAUUGUCUUGUAUUUACUCUUACUCAAAGAAGCCUUGUCCCAAACAAACAAAUGUGGCCAGGUCAAGCCUAAAAUGAAACAACACUGUGGUUAGUAUACCAUGAAGUGAUCUGAUUCAAGGUCUUAAUUUCAACUGAUACCAUGACUAUUUAUGCCUAGGCCAUAGCCACUACUCUAGGAUGGUUGGGCACAACCACAAGAGGUUCUGGUGCAAUAAUGGCAAAGACCAUAGAGUGACAUCAGAGGGAUCCUGGCAGCUCCCUGACUACAGAAUACCCAAGGUCCAGCUUAAAUUCAAUUGUGUGUAGGCUACUCCCUUUUUAAGAUCUUUGACAACUUUCACUACAAAGAAGCCAGGACCACAACAAGGCCUUGUAGUCUUACAUCAUUCUUUAACAGACAUUUCGUACUCCAGCACUGUGUAUAUAGUUUUCAAUAAAUAUAAUGUUCAUCUGCUA